CAAAGUACUGAUCUUGUUCAACAAUUGGAAAGAAGAACUGUCCAAUAACAUAUAUAUAUAUAUAUAUAUGUAAGUAAUAGUUACAUUAAAAUGUUGAUGAUAUAAAUCGAAAGUAUUUGCUCACCAUAUCAAUUUUCCCAACUGGAUUUUUGCCAAACUCGUUCAACUCAACAUAUAAUGACAUGAAGAAUGAAGCUCUUUGCGAUUCUUGACUUGAAUCAUUUGGAGCUAUACUGUCAACCUAAAACAAUAAUAAAAUGUUUAGUUGUAGUUGAGUUAUAUUAAAUAUGAAGAUACAAACUUACAUAUAGGCUGGCCGUAGUGAAAAAGCGUAGGGGUGAAUUAUCUGAACGAUAUUGCUC
rnacentral:lncRNA from 1 species